GGCCAGACUCCUACGGGAGGCAGCAGUGGGGAAUAUUGGGCAAUGGGCGCAAGCCUGACCCAGCAACGCCGCGUGAAGGAAGGAGGCUUUCGGGUUGUAAACUUCUUUUCUCAGGGACGAAGAAAGUGACGGUACCUGAGGAAUAAGCCACGGCUAACUACGUGCCAGCAGCCGCGGUAAUACGUAGGUGGCAAGCGUUAUCCGGAUUUAUUGGGUGUAAAGGGAGCGUAGACGGCAUGGCAAGUCAGAUGUGAAAGCCCGGGGCUCAACCCCGGGACUGCAUUUGAAACUGUCAGGCUGGAGUGCAGGAGAGGUAAGUGGAAUUCCUAGUGUAGCGGUGAAAUGCGUAGAUAUUAGGAGGAACACCAGUGGCGAAGGCGGCUUACUGGACUGUAACUGACGUUGAGGCUCGAAAGCGUGGGGAGCAAACAGGAUUAGAUACCCCGGUAUAA
rnacentral:rRNA from 1 species